GGGCAUGCCUGUUUGAGCGUCGUUUCUCCCUCAAACCGCUGGGUUUGGUGUUGAGCAAUACGACUUGGGUUUGCUUGAAAGACGGUAGUGGUAAGGCGGGAUCGCUUUGACAAUGGCUUAGGUCUAACCAAAAACAUUGCUUGCGGCGGUAACGUCCACCACGUAUAUCUUCAAACUUUGACCUCAAAUCAGGUAGGACUACCCGCUGAACUUAAGCAUAUCAAUAAGCGGAGGAAAAGAAACCAACAGGGAUUGCCUCAGUAGCGGCGAGUGAAGCGGCAAAAGCUCAAAUUUGAAAUCUGGCGUCUUUGGCGUCCGAGUUGUAAUUUGAAGAAGGUAUCUUUGGGCCCGGCUCUUGUCUAUGUUCCUUGGAACAGGA
rnacentral:rRNA from 1 species